rnacentral:lncRNA from 1 species
AUGUCAAACAUUUGCAAGUGCUCCUACUGACAUGAUUGGAAUUGAAUCACGUUUGGAAGAGUUAAAUUGCAAAAUAGGCAUAGGGGAGGAAGAUGAUAGUGUUCGGAUUAUAGGGAUUUGUGGUAUGGGCGGGUUAGGUAAAACAACUCUUGCAAGAUUUGUUUAUACCCAAAUUUCAAGUCAUUUUGAAGGCCAAAGCUUUCUGGCCGAUGUUCGUGAAGUUGCGGAGAAACAUGGACUUGUUUAUUUGCAGAAACAACUUCUUUACCAAAUAUUUCCAGAGGAAAGUUUCAAGUUUUUUAAUGUUCAUGAUGGGAAUGACAUCAUAAGUCGUAUGUUAUCUCAUAAAAAGAUUUUUGUUGUUAUUGAUGAUGUGGGUAACAUACAACACUUAAAAUGUUUGAUAGGCAGGCGAGCUUGGUUUGGUUUAGGAAGCAGGAUCAUCAUAACAACAAGAGACGAGCAUCUGCUGCAAAUCUACGGAGUGGAUGAUGUGUAUAAUCCGACGAAAUUGAAUGCCAAGGAAGCACUUCGCCUUUUCAGUUUGAAAGCUUUCAAAAGUGAAACACCUGCAAUGGAAUUUUUUGAGCUUUCUAAACGUGUAGUGGAAUAUGCCAAUGGCCUUCCGUUAGCUCUUGAAGUUUUUGGUUCUUUUCUGUCUGGCAGAUCAGAUGAAGCUCAAUGGAGAAGUGCUAUUGAAAGACUUAAAAAGGAGUCCAACAAAGAAAUUCUAGACAGGCUUCAAAUAAGCUUUGAUGGGUUAGAAAAAUCGGAGAAAGAUAUAUUUUUGGAUAUUGCAUGGGCUGCGACGGCUUCCANNNNNNNNNNNNNNNNNNNNNNNNNNNNNNNNNNNNNNNNNNNNNNNNNNNNNNNNNNNNNNNNNNNNNNNNNNNNNNNNNNNNNNNNNNNNNNNNNNNNCAUCAAGAAAUCUCUUGUAACAAUUGAUGAAGACAACAAAUUGUCGAUGCAUGACUUGUUACAAGAGAUGGGAAGGAAAAUUGUUUACCAAGAAUCUCCUAAUGAACCUGGAAAACGUAGUAGAUUGUGGGACGAAAAGGAUACUAAUUAUGUGCUAAUAGGAAACACUGUAAGUCUUUAGCACUAUUAACUGUUACUCCACCCUUGAAUAUUUGUUGAUUCAUACGAUACUAGGAUGCAAGUCUAGCUUUGAACUAUAUUUGGACGUGCAUUGCACUGUUAAGUCAUUAAAUUUACCGUAUUAAUUAGUUGAUUGCUCUGAUUUUCAGGCAACGGAAGCUGUUCAAGGUCUAGUCAUCGAUUCUAUCAGGUGUAAAUUCAUACACCUAUCUGUGUAUAUGUAGUUGAUUACUCUGUAUAUUGUAAAGCUCAUUCCUCUUUUUCCUUGGUGGUUAUCAGGAAACAGAACACUUGGACUUUGAGUGCUGAUGCCUUUUUGACGAUGAACAGGCUAAGACUGCUCAGAGUCUUCAAUGUUCCGAGUUCUCGUGGUUUCAAAUAUCUUAGUAACGAGUUAAGGCUUUUAGAAUGGCAUGGAUAUCCUUUCAAAUCCUUCCCUUCAAGCUUCCAACCAGAGAACCUUGUUGCACUUCUUCUGCCAUAUAGCCGCAUUGAAAAGUUGUGGAAGCCAAACAUGGUAAGAGUUACUUUGUUUGAUCAAUUAAUUUUGACCAAGAUAACAUAAACACAAAAUACCCAAAAUAAAAUGGCAUUUCAUCUUUGGUUUUCUGUUUCAUUUUUUUCUUUUACAGCCUUUAGAUAAGUUAAAAUUGGUCGACCUCAAAAGCUCUAAAAACCUUGUGAAAACACCAGACUUCAGUAUGGCCCCAAAUCUUGAAAGUUUGAUUCUGGAAGGUACUGGAAUAGUAGAUAUUGAUCCUACCGUAAAGUUUCUAAGGAGGCUGAAGCUUUUGAAUUUAAGAAACUGCAAGAGACUUAGGAUUUUCCCAUCCAAAAUUGGGAAUGGAUCUCUACAAACAUUAAUUCUUUCAGGUUGCUCAAAUAUAGACAGGAUUCCAGAGAUUGUGGGGGAAAUGGAAUGUCUGAAAGAGCUUUGUUUGGAUGGGACUGGUAUUAAAGAACUUCCCUCUUCAAUUGGACAUCUCAGGAGUCUUAUGUUGCUAAAUUUGAAAGAUUGCAGUAAGCUUGAGAGUCUCCCAAGCAGCAUAGGUGGGUGUGAAUUCCUUAAAACUCUUCUUCUCUCUGGCUGCUCUAAACUUAAAAAUUUUCCAGAGAGUUUGCGACAACUAGAAUCUUUGGAGGAGCUUAACCUGAGUGAGACUGCCAUAACGACACCACCAUCCUUCAUCUUUCAUUUGAAAAAUCUCAAGUUUCUUUCUUUCCAAGGAUGCAAGGGACCACCGUAUAGAGUACGAUCACAUUGGCGUUUUAUUUCUAGGCCCACACCAAGACUUAGUACGAACUCUAUGACCUUGAACCUACCUGUUAUUUUGUCUGGUUUGAGUUCUUUGAAGGAGUUGAAUUUAGAUGACUGCAACCUUAAUGAUGGGGCUAUUCCUAAUGAUAUUUGCAGCUUGUCCUCGUUGGAAAUUCUACGGCUUAGUGAUAACAAUUUCAUCACCCUACCUGCAACUCUUAGUCGACUUUCCAAGCUUACUAGUCUAGUACUGACUGACUGUAAAAGGCUUAAAUCAUUGCCCGAGCUACCAGCAAGCAUAAGAUUAUGGUUAGAUGGUUGUGGUUCACUGGAAGCAGUUGCAAAUUCGACUACAGCUUUCAAUUCACGGGUUGAUGGAUAUAUUUGUGCUUUUAACUGCUUCAAAUUGGCAGAGGGUAACGAUGCAGUAACAAUGCUGAAGACACGGCUGAAGGUUAGUACCUUUAUUUUUUUCUAUUAUUGCUCCCAUUGAUUUAUGGUGCUAGUUUAAGAAAAUGUGUCUUUGUUUGCAGCUAGUAGCAAAUGCAAGAACAGAAAGUUGUUACAUUGUCAUACCGGGAAGUGAAAUCCCAAAAUGGUUUAGCAGUCAAACGGAUGACUCUUCAAAAUCUAUAAUAAAGAUGCAAUUGCCUCCCAAUUUUCUGAAUGAUACACAGUUCUUAGGAUUCGCUUUCAGCUGUAUUUUCUUCUCUGACUUCAAUAAUAAACCUCGAAGGGGGGAGCAUAUUUCGUAUACAUUUGUUAUCCAUGGUAGAAAUUUCUCUCGAGAAUUUAAAACAGUCUAUUUUCAUUUAAGCGGUAAAUCUACGAGAGUAACCGAAGACCACCUUUGGAUACAAUAUUUGCCUCGUAACGACAUAGAUUUGUUGUCCCUGGUGGAAUUAGAAUGCGAAGAAACUGAGGUUUCUGGAUCCAGCACAGAUAUGUUGAAGGAAAGAUUUGAAAUUGAGGUUGCAUUCCAAAUCUGGGGCAUCAAUUCCAUGGUGAAGAAAUGCGGGGCUCGAAUAAUGUGUGAGGAAGAUUUGGAAGAGAUGGACCAAACCAUACAUGAACAUAGCGGGUCAACUUCUUCAAAUUUUGAUGAUAUGCAUUCAAACAGUGGAUCAAACGGGAAUAAUAAUGGCGCUCUUGUCAAGAGAAAAUGGUUAAGCCUUCACUUAUUUACAGUGAUUGAUAUAUGCUGUUGACUCCUGUUUUAUAAGGCUAAUUUACUUCAUAUCUUCGUGCUUUUCCAGGUUGAAUGCGAAAGCAGGCGAUCAGCGGAACAAAACUCUAUUUUGUCAAAUCUGUCAAUCAUAUUAUUGAAGCAAUGGUUAGCAUGUAGCAAUCACAUGUUUUAUUUAUUAUUAUUAUUAUUAUUAUUAUUUGGAUGUAAUUAUGUAACUUAGUUGUAUUCCAACUAAGUUUGUUAGUGGUAGUAGGUGGUGAUUUAUUUUAAGUUGAUGUAAUGAUGAAACUUAGUUGUAUUCCAACUAAGUUUGUUAGUGGUAGUAGGUGGUGAUUUAUUUUAAGUGGAUGUAAUGAUGAAACUUAGUUGUAUUCCAACUAAGUUGUCAAGUUGUAAGCUUGUAUAUAUAGGCUUUAUGCCAUUUUCAAAAAAAUAUGAAUGAAUUCAAUCAAGAUUUCAUCCAUAUACUCUCUAUUUUAGCUUUGCUUAAAAUUUAUUUCAUUUUUCUUCUUUGUUUCUGUCGCAAGUCUCGAUUCUUGCUCGGCAAGCUUUUUGUUGAACCUUGCUAUUUGUUGCACUUAGCUCCAACAAUUGGUAUCAGAGCUUAUUUCUUAAGGGAUCUGUUAUACAAAUUCAUGGCUUCAUCAAGCUUUUCACCAGCUGCACCUCAAGUCUUCAAUGGAGAAGGCUACCACAUAUGGGUGGUCAAAAUGAAGACCUACCUACAGGCUUUCGAUCUGUGGGAGGUAGUCAACUCAGAUGUUGAACCAGAGCCACUUAGAGGCAAUCCAACAGUGGCUCAAAUCAGGCAGCAUGCUGAUGAGAGGACCAAGAGGCACAAAGCCAUGUCUUGCAUCCAGAACUCAGUGUCAGAUGUGAUUUUCACAAGGAUUAUGGCCUGUGAAUCACCAAAACAAGCCUGGAACAAGUUGCAAGAGGAGUUUCAAGGGACAGAGAGGACAAGGCAGCAACAGUUGCUGAACUUGAGGAGAGAUUUCGAGAAUUUGAAGAUGAAGGAAGAAGAAACUAUCAAGCAGUACUCUGACAGGAUUAUGGCUGUGGUUAACAGCAUUAGGCUCCUUGGAGAGCAGCUCAAGGAAGCUAGGAUAGUGGAGAAGGUUAUUGCAACUCUGCCCGAGAGGUAUGAGGCAAAAAUCUCAUCUCUCGAGGACUCAAGGGACCUGUCCACCAUCUCCCUGACAGAGUUGAUCAAUGCUUUAUAUGCUCAAGAGCAAAGAAGAGCAAGCAGACUGGAGGAGCAUCAAAAAGGUGCCUUUCAGGCAAGAACAAACACUGCCUACAAAGGCAAGAAGGCCUGGAGAGACAAGCCAAGGACUGAUGUUGCAAGAAAAGAGGGUCAGACUUGCAAGCACUGCAGAAGGGCUGGUCAUCCAAAAGAAAAAUGCUGGUUCAAUCCAGAUGCUGUAUGUCAGCAUUGUAAAAAGAAGGGUCAUAUUGAGAGAGUCUGCAAGAGCAAGGCCAAAUCAAGGCAGAGUCAGUUUCAACAGAUGAAAGCUGAGGCUCGAGUAGCUAAGGAGGACAGUGACCAAGAGGAGCAAGUCUUUGCUGUGUCAUGCUCAGCUGCUCAAGAAAGGUUCUUAUCUGGUUGGCUCCUAGACAGUGGAUGCACCAACCACAUGACACCUGAUGCUGUAAUCUUCAAGUCUUUAGACAGAAGCUGCAGAACUAAAGUCAAGAUAGGAAAUGGACAUUUUAUUCAAGCUGAAGGCAAGGGUGAUGUGCUGAUAUGCACCCCCACAGGUGCCAAAGUGAUUUCAAAUGUGCUUUUGGUGCCUGAAAUUGACAGAAACCUGCUCAGCAUAGCUCAGUUGCUGGAGAAAGGUUAUCCUGUUGUGUUCAAAGACAACCAAUGCCAAAUCAAUGAUCCAAGUGGAUCCAAGCUGAUGGCAGUUCCUAUGGCUAAUAAGAGCUUUGUAGUUGACUGGACCAGGGAGUCAGACAUUGCCUACACAGUCACAUCAGAUGAAUCCAAGCUUUGGCAUCAAAGACUGGGACAUGCCAACUUCAGAUCGAUGGCUCGAAUGGUCAGAGAGGACUUGGCUGAAAACUUCAUCAACUCAGUGGAUCAUGAUGAUGUGUGUGAAGUGUGUCAGCUAGGAAAGCAGGCCAGACUCCCAUUUCCCUCGAAUCAAGCCUGGAGAGCCUCUGAAAAACUCCAACUGGUGCACACUGAUGUGUGUGGCCCUAUGAGGACUGAGUCAUUAAGUGGAAACAGGUACUUCAUACUGUUCAUUGAUGAUUUUUCAAGAUAUUGCUAGCUUUACUUCCUAAAACAGAAAUCAGAGGUGGCCUCAGUGUUUUGGAAGUUCAAGACUGCUGCUAAGACUGAAACAGGUUGCAAGCUGAAGUCCAUAAGAUCUGAUAAUGGGACUGAGUACACCUCAGCUCAGUUCCAAGCCUUCUGUGAUAAGGCAGGCAUCAAACAUCAACUUACCAACACAUAUACACCUCAGCAAAAUGGUGUAAGUGAAAGGAAGAAUAGGAGUUUGAUGGAUAUGGCCAGGUGCUUGAUGAUUCAGAAGAAUCUGCCUAAAGCACUAUGGGCAGAGGCAGUUAACACUGCAAACUACAUUCAAAAUAGGCUUCCAACUAAGGCCUUGGAUCAGAAGACUCCAUUCGAAGCCUGGUUUGGAUUCAAGCCAUCACUGGCUCAUCUGAAGGUCUUUGGAUGCAUCUGUUAUGCUCAUGUACCUGCUGUCAAAAGGGACAAAUUGUCUGAAAGGGCUCGACCUGGUAUUUUGGUGGGCUACAGCACUGUUAAGAAGGGCUAUAGGAUCUUGGAUCCUUCAACAAAGAAAGUGUCAGUCAGUAGGGAUGUGGUAUUUGAUGAAAAGUCAUGUUGGAACUGGGAAAAACAUGAACCUGAGGAAGCUUCAGAAGGACUUGCAGCAGAUCAAGCUGAGCCAGAUCAAAAUGUUCCUGAAAUGGACAUUGAUGAUGAACCAGUUAGAGGAACAAGACCAUUGACUGAGAUUUAUGAAAGAGCUCAUGUAGCCAUAGCUGAACCAAGCAUUUUUGAAGAGGCUGAAGCUCAGCAAGAGUGGAAGCAGGCAAUGGCUGAGGAGAUUAGCAUGAUUGAGAAGAACCAGACCUGGGAAUUAGUUGAAAGGCCAGUCAAAAGGAAGAUAAUUGGGGUGAAAUGGGUGUACAAAGCCAAGCAGAAUGCUGAUGGUACCUUGAACAAACUGAAAGCAAGGCUAGUUGUCAAGGGGUUCAGUCAGAGGUAUGGCCUGGACUACCUAGAGACCUUUGCACCAGUGGCCAGGCUAGACACCAUCAGAUUACUGAUUGCCUUAGCAGCACAGCUCGAGUGGAAGAUCCAUCAACUCGAUGUGAAAUCAGCCUUUCUGAAUGGUUUCUUAGAUGAAGAGAUCUAUGUUGAACAACCACAAGGGUUUGAGAUAGCUGGCAGAGAGCAUAUGGUCUACAAACUGAAGAAGGCCCUAUAUGGCUUAAAACAGGCUCCAAGGGCCUGGUACAGCAGAAUCGAUGGCUACUUGACUAAUUUGGGAUUUGAUCGAAGUAAGAGUGAGCCAACACUGUAUGUCAAGAAGCAAGGGACACAAACACAACUCAUUGUGUCCCUAUAUGUUGAUGACCUGCUGGUGACAGGAGGAGAUCGAGCAGUGCUGGUCGAUUUCAAGACCAAGAUGCAGGAAGUAUUUGAAAUGUCUGAUCUAGGGGAAAUGUCUUAUUUCCUUGGAAUGGAGGUGACUCAAGCACAAAAUGGGAUAUUUCUAAGUCAGAGAAACUUUGCCACAAAGAUUCUGACCAAGUUCUCCAUGCAAAACAGUAAAGCAACUAAAACACCUGUUGCUGUUGGAGAAAAACUAUCGAGCCAAGGUGAUUUUGAGAAGGUUUGUGAAACAACCUACAGAAGUCUAGUUCGUUGUCUGUUAUAUUUAACUGCCACUAGACCAGACAUAAUGUAUGCUGUAGGAUUGCUCUCAAGGUUCUUGCACUGUUGCAAUAAAAAGCAUUUACAAGCUGCUAAGAGAGUGCUUAGAUAUGUCAAAGGCACUUUGAGCUAUGGUUUAAGGUACAGCAAGGAAGGAAAUCUGAAGCUGGUUGGCUACACUGAUAGUGACUGGGCUGGCUCGAUAGAUGACAUGAAAAGCACCUCAGGGUAUGCUUUCAACCUUGGUUCAGCCAUGUUUUGAAGCAAAGUCUGGUGGCUCAAUCUACUGCUGAAGCAGAAUAUGUGGCAGCUGCAAGUGCUAUCAACCAAGCCAUUUGGCUAAGGAAAAUCUUAGCUGAUUUGAAAGUGCAUCAAAAGGAAGCUACUGAGAUCUUCUGUGACAACCAAUCUUCAGUUGCAAUUGCUAAAAAUCCAGUGUUCCAUGGAAGAACAAAGCAUUUCAGCAUCAAGUUGCAUGUUGUUCGAGAAAUAGAGCAAGCUCAGGAAGUGAAGCUGAUCCAUUGUAAUUCUGAGGAUCAACUUGCAGACAUUUUGACUAAAGCCCUUAAUGUCACAAGGUUCGAAUGUCUAAGAAGGAAGCUAGGUGUUUGCUCCAUGCAAACCAAGGAGGAGUAUUGAAGCAAUGGUUAGCAUGUAGCAAUCACAUGUUCUAUUUUUUAUUAUUAUUAUUAUUAUUAUUAUUAUUAUUAUUAUUAUUAUUAUUAUUAUUAUUGUUUGGAUGUAAUGAUGAAACUUAGUUGUAUUCCAACUAAGUUUGUUAGUGGUAGUAGGUGGUGAUUUAUUUUAAGUGGAUGUAAUGAUGAAACUUAGUUGUAUUCCAACUAAGUUGUCAAGUUGUAAGCUUGUAUAUAUAGGCUUUAUGCCAUUUUCAAAAAAAUAUGAAUGAAUUCAAUCAAGAUUUCAUCCAUAUACUCUCUAUUUUAGCUUUGCUUAAAAUUUAUUUCAUUUUUCUUCUUUGUUUCUGCCGCAAGUCUCGAUUCUUGCUCGACAAGCUUUUUGUUGAACCUUGCUAUUUGUUGCACUUAGCUCCAACACAUAUGUUGUAAACCAUCGACUACUCUCCUAGCUUUACAUUGUUUUAUCCAUUUUCUUUCAUAUAGAUUUAUCUUUUUCGGACAACUUGUGUUUCAAUUUUGUUAUAGACGGAAAAUACAAUUGGUUAAAAUCAUUUAAUUAGCUAAUUCAGUAGAGUUUUCUCUAUCGGCUUUGUUAUCGAAUUUUUCUUAACUUACUGACUAGUCAUUGAAAUAAAGAGAAAAAGCAGAGUGAGGAAGAAAAAACAAAGAGAGAAUUUUGUGCAAUUAUGGAAUUUAAAAAGAGAAUAUUUAAUAAAUUUGGGAUUCUAACCAUGAAAGAAAAGAUUUCCACUUCUUGGUCUUGUUUAAAGUAUACGUAAUGUUAUAUGAAUCAAAAUCAGCUAAAACCCCUUCGACUGUAUCAUUGAUUGUGAUCAAAUGUCGGCACGGUAUGAAUGACAUAACCAAACAUUUGGCUUAGAUGAUUUAUAAAGCUUUGAAAGCUUCACAAAGGUUUAUAAUCAUAGAGCCAUCUAUCAUUUUUGUUGAAAACUAAAGGACGAGAUGAAUAAUUCCUAUGAAAAGGGGAUAUAUAGAGCAAAGCAGAAGCAUGAUCAAGAGGAGUUGGCAAUCGUCAUGUCUAGAUAUGUACAUGUGUUGAGUUAGGGGUGUUCAAAUUUUGGUUAAAAUCGAAUUAAUUUACCGAAUCUUUCUAAUUUGGUAAACCGAUAAUCUAAUUCGGUCGUAGGUAGGUUAAUGGUUUUUUGGAAGUUCAGUUAUCAGUUAAUUCGGUUCGAAAUCAAAUAAUUAAUUUAAUUAAUUGAAUUAAUCGAACUUAAUAAUUAAAUUAUAUGUAGUUUUAAUGCAAUCAAAUGAACAUUAUCAAUUUUUUGUUAUAUGUUUUAUACUUUUUUUAACCAAAAAAACAAAAACAUAUCAAUUUCGGUUAAUUCAGUUAACCGACCGAAUUAACCUAAUUAUUUCGGUUUGGUUACUUUUUUUUUCUUGAAACAAUUUUGAUUCAGUUAACAAUUAAAAAAUUAAAAAGUUUAAUUAAUUUAAUUAAUACUAAUUCGAUUCGAUUAUCCGAUUAAUUAACCAUUUGAACACCCUUAUUGAGUCAAUUUCAAAAAUAUUUUCAAGCAGCUUGUGAUCCCAUACAUAAAAUUCUUGUGGAAGCCCAUCACAAGUCGGGCUGAGCCUGGUUGGCUUUUAAAUUUUGAUAUUUAUCUUAAUUGCUUACUUAAUAUUAAACAAAUGUAUACAUAAUUUAAUUAUUUUAGUUAACAGUAUAAUUUUUUGAUAUCAAGACAUUAAUUCUUAUGAUAAAUCCAAUCGAAUUACUACUUAAUAAAUUUUAUUAUUUUUUAAUAAUAAAAUGGACUACAAGUUAAUCGAGUCUAUCUUAAGUCGGGUUUAACUAAUAAUAGAAAAUUUAAAGCAUUAGAUAAUAGCAGUCAUUCUAUCCUAGGAUAACAUUUUGACAUGUGCGUUCAAGAAGAAAUUCAAGCGCAAUCAUUUCCUUGUUUUGAGUAACCAUUGUAUUCUAGGGAUGACAUUUUCAGACCAUUUGUGCCACAGUAGAGAAAACUAUAUCAUUCAGAAAGCUUCUUGGAAUUGUCUUAUUCUUUUAUUCUUUUACCAUUAUUCUACUUGUUUUGACAUGUGCAUGUACUCUAGGGAUAAGGUUUUCAGACCAUUUGUGCCAUAGUAAAGAAUCCAUAUCAUACAGAAAGCUUCUUGGAAGUGUCUUGCCUAUACCCUUUCUCAUUACUUAUUCUUUAUUUUUUUCCCUAGCAUUAUUCUACUUGGUUGUAUUAGUCCAUCCCAAAACCACUAUAUACAACAAUUUUAGGAUAAUAUAGUGUAUUACAAUGGCUACUAUUGUAAUCAAACCAUGUCCAUAUGUUUAUAAAGUGGAUAAACUUGUUCAAACAUCUUAACUACAAGAGAUAUAAGCAUGAAGAUUUACUCUUGAAAGCAGCCUUUUGAAAGUUGUAUAUGUACUACAUGAAGAUCUAAACAUUUGCUUCCAUAAAAUACUAGCAUCUAGAUGAUGGUCACUAUACUACAUGGAUCUUGGGUGAAUGUCGGAUAAAGGUAUGUGUUUAAUGUUGAUAUACUCAAUUCUUGUUUUAAGUUUUCUUAGGUAUUUGGAGGAUUAUAUCGUGGAUCCAUAUCCAAAUGUGUCAUACACAAUUGUAGCAUACAUAUACUUCAUGAAAAAUGAAGAGUCUAAGGUAACAUAGAUUAAGAGAUGCAUAGAACUAGAGUACUUCAAGGUACAAAACAGGAAAAUUGAAAUUAAAGUUGAAUUAGGAGCCAACAAAUUAUUAACUUCGUUUUAUUUUGGUUACUAACCUAUUAAUUUUUUUUAUUUAAUUAGUCACUAAACUUUAUGAAAUCAAAUAUUUUGGUCACUCUCCCGUUAGUUGUCAUUAGAUGAGUCACAACAAGCUUAUGUAAGCUUUUUUUGUUAGUCUAAUAACAAAUUUAGCCCUCUAAUAUUUUGAUAUUCUAUUAAUUUGAUCCUAAAUAUAAAUUAUUCAUCAAGUUUAACCCUUAAUGUUUAUAAAAUUUGUCAAUUUAGUUCUAAUUCUAAAUUUAGCCCUCAAUUUAGUAUGGAUGAUAUAAUUAAAAAUAAUAAUUCAAGUUUCCAAAACAUUUUGCUUAUUUUAGUUCUUUUUAAUUUUGCUUCACUUUUUUUUGGUUGAUAAAAUAAAAAUAAACAAAAUCUGGUAAAAAGAUUGUUCUUGCAAAGAGAGAGAAGAGGCUCAGAAAAUGUUUAAAAUGGAUGGAAAGUUUCAUCCUCAAAUUUACAAAUCAGGUUAACGAGAUUUAAAUUUCUAUAAUCAUCACCGCCUCUUUCAAUAAUACAUAAACUUAAACUUAAACUUAAACUUAAACAUGGGCAUCAAUUUUCAAGUGAUAUAGUUAUUGGUAAUGCAAAAUGAGAAAUAUUUUUUAAAAUUAUUUUUAUUAUAGAAUAUUUUUCAGUUGAGGAAAAUCCUCUAACUGCUACAAAAUAUUUUCUAUUGAGGAAAAUCUUCUACUAUUUUUGAAAACUGACACUGUUAUUUUACUAUUUUGCCCUUUCUAAAAAUAAUAUAAAUAGCAGAUUAUUUUACUCAUUUUUCACAACACAGAAAAAACAAGAAAACUCAAUUCUCUUUUUUCUCUCAUGUUCUUGCUUUCUAAAAUUUUGAUAUUUUACUAAAUUACAUUAGUACGAUAUUUUGUUUAGGAGAUUGGGUUUUAAGUGGGACUGUCUAUGACCCUUCCAAUAUUUCCUGGGAAUUGAACCUAGUGUGGUUUACCCUAGUUUCUUUCAGUUUAUUUCCCGACUUUUACGAGAAGAGCAAUCCUUUUGAGUUCUAUCUUUCUCAUUCGAGUGUACGAAUUUGAAAGUACCGUGUUAACCUUAGGGGCGACGUCCAUUUUCGAUUACACUAAUCAAGGCGAAAUCACUUCUAAGGCAGUGGUUCUUCCACAACAUAGUGAUUGUUUUAUUUAUUUACACUUAAUUUGGUUUCCUGUUAGUGCUAAUAGUUUUGUUUGCAGUAGUAUAUUUUCAACAAUUUAGAAGCGACUUCUUUGCUAUUGCUUAAACUUGAAAAUCAUUUUCUUUUUUGGCCGUUGGAACCAAUGAAGGCUCCUACAGGUAAUUUAGAAGUUGAGCUUGAUAAUGCGAGCUUAUAACCUGAGUGGGGGGCUUUAAGGUGUUGGAACACGGGUUUGGCUUUGUUGAUUCAAAUCUCGAGUGGUUUAAUUCUGGCUUGCCCAUUCCAAGUUGAGAGUUGAGCCUAUGAGACUUGAUUGUACACUCUAAGUACAGUGAAAUCUUAAAAGGUCUUAAGGUUUGAAUCUCGGAGGAAAAAAAUAGACAAUGAAGGGAAAAUUGGAUUUAUAAAUAUGUUGAUGUGAUAUUAAGGCAAUCGGUUUGAAGGCACCUAAGUAGUGCAAAAGUGUGUCUAAGUAUCAUCGGAGCAAUUGAAAGCUCCAUCCAUGCUGGCUAGUUGGCCAUUGCAAUCAAGAUGGGCUUGGAAGACCUAAAGAGCUGGAGUUUGAGUGGGCCGAUGGACCUUUAAGUUUGAGUUGGUCAAAGGAUCAUGAGCGGAUCACUGGAGAUUUGUGGAGCUAGUUCAAGCAUCACAAAAUUUUGAACCAAAGUAGUGGGGGAUGUCUUGUUUAGUCAACCAAUGAGAUUGUGCGGAGAAAGAAGCAACGUGAUAAAGUUUGUAUGAAUGAACAUUAAAGUCUAAAAAUGAUAUUGAGAUCAACCUAGUUUAGUAAUGCCACAUAUGUUGUGAUUGGCCAAGAUGACCACACCCAAUGGGGUGACCAUAGAGGGACCGAGAGGGCCUACGUUGGGGAUGACCAAUGUGUCUAUAUUUCCCAUGUUGAGAACUUUAGUGUUAGGGUCGCAUGGGCGGUUGGCAUAAACCACGUUCAGAGAGACGCAUCUAACGGGAUGUCGCAAGAGUGUAAUUGGUGUCACAUCUAGAGGAAUGCAUUUUUAAGCAUCAAAGUCAUAGUAAUAUUCAGUUGGCAAUGGAUCAAACCAUUAAAGGUUCCUCAAGGCUGUAACCUGAUGAUUAUAUGUUGUGGCAUUGAGCCCAAGUGUUUGGUGGAGGAAUGGGCAUAGACAAGACUACACCGACGGUUGAGAUGAAACCAAGUUCGAGUCUAUGUCUGAUGUGCAUUGAAUGAAUCAUAAUCUUAGGCCUUGAAGGCCCAAGAUGAACUUGAGACUAAAAUGUCAACUAGAUGCAACAAGGUUACUAAACUGGCUUUAUAUCUAUGAGGGCAUCGACAUAGUAAGUGGGGGAAAGAGUUAUGGUUCGCAAGUUACUAUGUUAUCAAGGUUAAACUACCCCAAAUGAUUUUGAGUGAAAUUAAAGUAUAAUAACUUGGAAGUUGGAAUUUUUUGGAUACCCUGCAGUCCUAAAGAGAUAUUGUGAUGCAAACUGGGUAACUAAUAAAGUUAGCUCUGUAAGUGGGUAUGUCUUUAUUUUAGAUGGAGAAACUAUUUCUUAAAAGUCUGCUAAACAGACGUGUAUUGCUCACUCUAUGAUGUAAUCAGACUUUAUAACUCUUGACUGAGUUGGGAAAAAGUUCGAGUGGCUCAGGAAUCUGCUUGCAGAGAUUUCUUUGUGGGGAGAAACAUACACCUCCUGUUGUCCUUAUUAUAUGAUUCACAAGCCGCCAAUUGUUUUGCUUAAAACCAAGCUUACAAUGACAAGAAAAUACAUAUACGAAUAAGACAUGAAUAUGAGAUAUGCAUAAUAAAAAAUGGAGUACUCACCAUAGAGUAAUUAAAAUCUAAGAGGAACCUAGAUGAUCCACUAACCAAAGGGUUAUGUAGGAAAAUGGUUAUUGAUUCAUCAAGAGGGGUGAGACUUAAGCCCACUGGUUAAAGAAUUCAUGGUGGAUACCCAGCUUAGUCUUUUAAGUUCAAUGUGAUCAAACGAAACCAUGAAAGACUUAUAAUGUACAUCUUUACCUAUCCCUAUGGCACAUAAUGUACAUGCACAAUAGCCUAAAGUUUGGGUGGUUCUAAGAUAAACUUGAGGAAUUCACCGACGUGUGAACUUGAGUUUCUUACUCUUAAUGAAUUCAUAUCCUAUAGUUUGGGUAGUUCUGUUGAGACGUACUUGAUGAAUUCGCGAAAUUAUAAAACUGAGAGGUUAAGCUUAUUAAAUGCUCUUAAUGAUUUCAUAGUCCUAGUCCGGGUGGUCUAUACUAAGAAAAACUUGAUGAAAUCACCUACGUAAGUGUGAAGUAUUAGCCACCUUUUAUGAAAUACGUUGGGUUGUUUUUUUAGAGUAAUUAUCAACAUCCCGAUGUAUAUUAGUUGAAUUGUUUAUCUAUUAUGGAACUCAAUUGGACAUGAGAUUAGUCGUGUGUCAUGAGUUAAGUCUUAUCAUAAGAAGUUCAAGAUUCAUUCACUUGUUAAAGAGAAGAAUCACUAAUUUCACUACGUACUAGUUCAAAUCCACAAGAUAAUAGUGCUUAAGUGGCUAAUUUUGCUAUUACUCUUCUCACGUUUUACCUUUUUCUCAUAUUUACAAAACUUUCCAGUUCUUUUGCAUUAGCAAGGGAAUGUUGGUAAUGCAAAAUCAGAAAUAUUUUUCCAAAAUAUUUUAUGUUGUAGAAUAUUUUUCGGUUAAGAAAUAUCCUUUGACUAUUGCAAAAUAUUUUCUAUUGAGGAAAAUCGUCUAUUAUUUUUGGAAACUGAAACUGCUAUUUUAUCAUUUUACUCAUUCUGGAAACAAUAUAAAUAUCAGACUAUUUUACUCAUUUUUCACAACAUAAAAAAAAAACAAGAAAACAAUUCUCUCUUUUCUCUCCCAUUCUUGCUCUCUAAAAUUUUGGUAUUUUACUAAAUUACAUUAGUGCAAUAUUCUGUUUAGGAGAUUAGAUUUUAAGCGAGACCGUCUAUGACCCCUCCAGUCUUUCCUAGGCAUUGAACCUAGUGUGGUUUACUAGUUUCUUCCAGUUUAUUUCUUGACUUUUACGAAAAGAGCAAUCCUUUUGAUUUUCAUAUUUCUCAUUCGGGUGUACGAAUUUGGAAGUACUAUGUUAACCUUGGGGGCGAUGUCCAUUUUCGAUUACACCAAUCAGGGCGAAAUCACUUCUAAGGCAGUGGUUCUUCCAUAACACAAUGAUUGCUUAAUUCAUUUACACUUGGUCUAGUUUCCUGUUAGUGCUAACUGUUUUGUUUGCAGUAGUAUACUUCCAAUAAUUUAAAAGUGACUUCUUUGCCACUGUUUAAACGUGAGAAUUGUUUUCAUUUCUGACUGUUGGAAAUUGCUACGAUUACUGUUAUUGUUAGGCCAAUUAUUGUUCUUGAUUGGAAUGAUUUAUAUGCAAGUAUAGUUCUAGGUUCAUGACUAUUUGGUUAUGGCAAUAAUUACAGCAUGUUACCUAUAAAAAAUGAACAAGAUGAAAAAGGAAAAUGAUGCAAAAUUUGAGUUGUUUUUAAGAUUACAUGACUCUCAAAUCCUCAAGGAAUAUUUAUGAUUUACAAAUCAAUUUAAGAAAAAGUUGGGUAAAGGAACCUAUAUUUAAAGGAACACUUUAAUGAGAUCUAUAUUGUUGUGAAUAUCCUAAAUAAUUCCAUAGGGGAUGAGAAGGAAUUUAUGCUGAAGAUAAUGUUUUUUUUAACGUUUAAAAUAUUUUUAAUAUUAUUUUAUUUUAACUAGAUUUGUUGUUAUCUUUUAAUAACCAAUCAUAGUCCUUGUUGAAAAUUUUGGAUAAUUUUUAGGAUAAGGAUGAUGACUAAGAUUUUGGUUAAGGAUUGCGUUUUGGAUAAGAAUGAUGGUAUGAACACAAAUGAUUGGUGCUUAGAAUAUAGUUUAGAUAAAAAAAAUUACUUAAUUUAAGCAUUCAAGUAAGAAAUAAAAAAAAUAAAAAAAUAUUUUGUUCUUAGAUUUCUCUCUUUCUUUAAGUUUUCCUCUCAAAGUUUCUUUCUUGUUUCUUCUCUCUUCCAAGAACUUGGUAUCAGAAACUUUUAAUCUUACAAGGGCUACAAAUAUUUGAGAGUUAUGAUAAGAGUUAGCUAGCAUUUGUCAACACCAAAUGACUUCAAAUAUUUGUUCUUUGUGUUCAUGACCUUUCUUUUCGAGUGAAAAUUAUUAGAUAUAGGCUGUCAAAAUGAAAACAUAUCUAAGUGCUUUUGAUCUUUGGGAUGUGGUUGAAAAUGAUAAAGAAUCACCCUAACUUUCGGCCAAUCCAACUGUAACCCAGUUAAAGAAAGAAAAGAGUUGUAUUGAGUCAUCCGUUUCUAACGAAAUUUUUAUGGCACAUUGCAUGUGAGAUUGCAAAGCAAGCUUGGGAGAUGCUAAAAGAGGAGUUGCAAGGCAUGAUAGGAUUAGACAAAUGCAAGUGUUCAACCUCAAAAGAGAAUUUGAAAUCUUGGAAAUGAAAUAGUUUUGAUGCGGUCGUUGAAAGCACCAAAAGUAUCCUAUCCCUAAUAAAUAAUGAAAAAGAAUAGUAAAAGGGAAGUAGGGUCAAAUCCUUAAGGACUAGAUUUGCACAAUGUCUAAUUCCGUGAAAUCCCAAGCAGAAUCUUGCCCAAGAAAACAUGCGUUCCUGAAAAAAAAAUAGAAUUAAAGGUUUGGAUCUAGAAACGAAAAAUAAAAUAAAAACAGAAUUAGGAAUAUUGAAUAAAAAAUUUGAGAAAGUAAAAAUAGAGUUGAGAGAAAGGAAAUUCUUAUGGGAGAUUCCAGUCUCCAAUUGUCUCGUUCCGCCUUAGGUUCAAUCUUCGGCUUUUAAAUGAUCCUUCCCAAACUGAAUAAGCCAUAGUGGAAGAGGACGCCUACAACCAUCAGCUCCAAGGAUUUAGACUUACGAUUUAGUGAAACCUGACUCUAGCCAACAAUUGCUUCUGUGGGAUCGUUUUAUGUUAGAUCAGCACUUCUCAAUGGUGAAUCCCACGCCAUUUUGUCUCUUAAGCUCGCCAACCUCUAACGUAGUAAGCUAACGAACCGACUGUGCAACCUUCCCAAAACAUACAAAGCGGUCGCCUUUGCAUACGUUGAAAAGCUUACUUCUUAAGGGACAUAAACGAAAGCGUCAGCCCCGUAGUGCGAAGAAAUGAUGAAUACUCAGAGAGGGGGCUAAGUACGGACUCUAAGCCUCAAGAACCCUUUUUAGGGAAUAUCGACAACCUUCAGCUAGAUAGGUUUAGUGGCUCAUGGUUAUGGUGGAAAAGAACAUAAAUAAAAUAAAAAAUAGAGAUUUUAUUGGAAGGAAAUAUGAGAAGAGCAAAAGCCUAGAUUUUUGGGGAGAGAGUGUUUAUAGAAAAAGAUGGAUCUCUUUUGAAUCACUUCACCCCCUAUUUAUAGUGCUAGGGGAGAUAGUCUAAUCCUACUUCAAAUCUCAAAAGAUAAAUACAUUUAAUUGAAGAUAAAUAAAGAUAAAUAAAAUAAAAUCCUAAAAUUAAAUAAUCCUUAAUUAUUAUCUUAAUAUUAAUUAUCCUAACAUAAUUAAAAUAGAGUUUGAUAGAAUAAAAUCUCUUCUUUUUGCAUUUCAACCCUUGUGUCCUCCAUGCUUGCACUUUUGGCACCAACUUUUCCUUAUGUUGCACAUUGGCCCAUUUUAUCUCUAAAUUCACGCUUUUGGCCCUUAAUUUUGCUUUUGCCUCAAAUUUAGUUCCUAUGAGAUAAAAUAAAUAGCUCAAAUUAGCAGGAUCAUGCUCAGAAUAAAUACAUAAUUAAUACAUAAAAAUACUUUAUUCUAGAGUGUUAUCAAGUUUAAAACUCUAAAGGAGUACAAAGACGGACUCUAUAAAGACCAUGAAUAACCUCAGAUUACUUGGAGAGGAGAUGGCAGACAAAAAAAAGUUGUGGAGAAAGUUCUUUUCAGUUUACAUAAGUAAAGUUUUGAAGUUGUAAAAUCUCAAAGAGCUUGGAGACUACUGGCAAUUGUACACUUUGACAUAGUAGGCCCUUUUGAUAUACCAUCAGUUGGAGGAAACAUGUAUUUUCUUACCUUUAUUGAUGAUUUUAGGAGAAAAAGUUAGAUAUAUUUUCUUAAAAUAAAAUUAGAAGUACUUAAUAAAUUCAUAGAGUUCAAAACUAUGGUGGAAAAACAAAGUGGACAUUAUAUUAAGAUAUUCAAAUCUGAUAACGAGGGCAAGUAUAUAUCAAAACUGUUUAAAAGCUUUUGUAAAGAGCACAUAAUUAUUCACCAAUUGAUAGUUACAUAUACUCCAUAACAAAAUGGAAUUGCUGAAAGAAAGAAACACACUAUUCUUGAUAUGGAAAGAAGCAUGGUAAAAGGUAAACAUCUACCAAGAACUUUUUGGGCUAAAGUUGUUCAAUGUGUAGUUUACCUAUUAAUCGAUGCCUAGUAAAAAGUGUGAAAUAUAAGAUGUUGAAUGAAGUUUGGAGCGAUCAAAAGCCAUAAGUUGGACAUUUCAAGUUUUUUGGAUGCAUCGCAUAUGCUCACAUUUCUGAUUAGACGAGAGUGAAGCUCAAUAAAAAAGGCAUGAAAUGCAUCUUUAUUGGAUAUGAAAAAAGAAGCAAAGCAUAUAAAAUACACAACCCUCUCACCAAGAAAGUUAUUAUUUCAAUAAAUGUUGAGUCCAAUGAAACAAAUUACUAAAGAUGGAGCGAAAAAGAAAAGUAAAUUGAAGGACUAUUUUUUAGUGAUGAUAAAGAUGAUGACUUCAUCAAUCAAGAUAAAGAAGGUGAUGAUCAAAGCCCUCCACCAAGUCAUGUUGCAACAACCCCUACAACAUCAUCAUCACCAAGUAGUAGUAGUUCAAAGGAAGUGUUUACAAGAAUGUGUAGUCUACACAACAUUUAUAAUGUUGCAGAACCCACAGAGACAACUCUUGAUUAUUCCUUAUUUUGUUUAAUUACAAAAUGUGAUCCUAUAACAUAUGAAGAAGCAAUUGAAGAUAUCAAAUGAAAUAAGGAAAUGGAUGAAGAAAUUGCAACAAUAAGAAGAAAUGAUACGUGAGAGUUAACAAGUUUGCUAAAAGGACACAACCUAGUUGAAGUUAAAUGGGUGUACAAGACAAAGACCUACAAAUAGGGAAAAAUGGAGAGUACAAAGAAAUUCUAGUUGUCAAAGGCUACAAGUAAAGACAUAUAUACGAACUCGCCUCAAUGAUGAUUCAAGUUCAUUGAGCUGGAAUCGAGUUGAUUUAAGCUCAACGAGCUAAAUUUGAGCUAGGUCAGCUUGCGAAAAAUGGCAAGCCUCGCUUGGUGAGCUGAACCAAGGGCAUUUCCGACUGUGAUCGUAUCAGACAUGGAGUGGAUUAUGAUGAAGUGUUUGCUCUAGUAGCCAGAAACGACACUAUAAGUCUUUUCACAACAAUUACAACACAAAACAAUGGAAGAUUUAUCAAAUGAACGUGAAGUUAGCAUUCCUUAAUAACUACUUAAAAUAAGAAGUUUACGUUGAACAACCACUUGGAUGUAGAAAACAAAGACAAUAAGACAAAUAUAUCGCUUAAAGAAAGCCUUUUAUGGUUUAAAUCAAGCCCCAAGAGCAUGGAACACAAGAAUAGAUGAGUACUUUCAGAAGAAUGAGUUCAUGAAAAGUCUAUGCGAGCAUGCCUUAUAUACGAAGAAAAAUGGAGAUGGUGACAUCAUGAUCGCAUGUUUAUACAUAGAUGAUAUGAUUUUCACAAGAAAUAGACCAGGUAUGUUCAAUGACUUUAAGAAAAAUAUGACUAAAGAAUUUAAAAUGACAGAUAUUGAUGAGAUGUCAUGUUUUCUUGGAUGCAAAGUGAAGCAAAUGGAAGAUGAAAUAUUUGUGUAUCAAAAGCAGUAUGUGGAACAAAUCUUAAGCAAAUUCUAAAUGAAAGAUUGCAAGCCAGUAGCCACGCCAGUGGAACCUAGUAUGAAGUUAAGUGUUAAUUCAACUAGAGCCGGUAAAUUCAACAUUAUUUAAAAGCAUCAUUGGAAGUUUAAAGUAUCUGACUAUCGUGCAGAAAAACAUAAUGUAUGCAAGGGGAUUAGUUAGUUGAUUCAUGAAGAAGUCAGAACAAGACCAUCUAAUUGUAGCAAAAAGAAUUUUGAGAUAUGUUAAAAGUACAAUGGAUCAUUGUUUUUACACACAAAGUUCAAAAUUGGUUGGUUAGUCAUAAAAUGAUUAUGGUGGUGACUUGGACUAUCACAAAAGCACGUCUGGAUAUUUAUUCCAUAUUGGCUCUACAACAUUUCCAGGGUCAUCAAAAAAGCAUCAAAAAGUAGCCCUCUCAGCAUGUGAAGCAGAAUACACCGCUAUAGUAUGCCCUUGUCAAGCAAUUUGGUUGAAGAAUAUUUGAGCGAACUAACUCUUACACAGGAAGGUUCCAUUACAAUUUAUGUUGACAACAAGUCUACAAUUUAUGUAGCCAAAGCAAGCUCAUUGAUACAAAGUAUCACUUUAUUUGAGAGUUGGUGAAGAAUAAGAACAUCAAGCUAAUCUACUACAGAAUGAAAGACCAAUUGGUAAACAUUUUACGAAGCAAUUGAAAGAGGGCGUAUUUAACAAACUUAAAAGAAAAACUUGGAAUAAAGAUCUCGGUUUAAGGAGAAGUGUUAGAAGUCAAACCGACUUCUCAAAGUCGGAAAAGCAUGAAGCUAAGAGUGGCUUUACAAAUUGGUUUAAAACGUGGCAUGAAAUUAGUGGCAAAACAGCAACAUGAAAGCUUGCUGAAAGUUUCUUAAAGAUUGAAAUUGUGUAAUGAUAAUAUAAGGAUAAACAAAGCAUCAACAGUGGAGCUUAUUGGAUAACCAUGGAUUUGCUCGAAGCUUUACAAGCUUAUUACAGCAACCUUUAAGUCUAUUUAUGUUAUGUUAUAAAUAGCUCUUAUGUUAGUGUGUGUGCAUCACAAGUGAAAGAAAUAGAGAAAAAAAAAAAAGGAAUAUUGUGUGUGCAGUAGAAAGUGGCGUGAGUUAGAGUAAAAAGAAACUAGCGGCAACUAGUAAUUGAGAAAUAUAUAUAUAUUUGUAAUUUGCUAUUGUGCGAGUAAUAAAGAUGUUUCGAUUGUAAGGGUUAACUACGCUUCCAACAUUUAUCAACUCUGCCCGUAUGCAUUGCACACUGUACUCAGCAUGGUUACUAGUCACUCUCGAUCAACAUUACUUAACAAUCCGCAGCUGUUAAGAGGAAUUACCUGUAUUUAGUAUCUUUCCACCUUCAACAUAAUAUAUUUCAAGGCUCUUUGAAUCAUAACCUAGAGACCUUUUUCGAAAAAGAAACUUCGAGAACUUUCUGUACCUAAUAGAAUUUAAUAACACGUUAUCUACAUCCUCCUGAUCAAAUUCAUUAACAAACCCAUUCACAUAACUGAAUUCUAGGGUUCCUGUAAAUUUCCCCCAUGGCAGUACCUUUAUUUAAAUUAUCCAAAUCCAGGUAAGCUUUUUUCUUUUGGUUUCCAUCCCCAUUGUGGCUUGUCUCCUUCCUCCAUUUCGAAGUUCUAACCAUCAUCAACGUUGUUCCAAACUUUUUCAAACACUUAUCAAUUUUUUAUAUAAAAAAUUAUUUUUUUCUCAAUAAAAUAAUUUUUUAAUAAAAUGAAAAAGAGUCAUGACAAUGAUGUCAUGUUGAAAGCAAACCCCAAAAGUUUUCUUGGUUACCUUAUCUUGAAGGGGCUCUAAAAGAUAAAGGUUUUUAACUGUUUUUUUUUUUAAAGUUAUUCAAGAGUUUCAAUUUCUUUUGUAAAAUAAAAUUUUAUUUCUUGAAUUUUAUUUUAUUUCAGGGUUUUUAUUUUAUCUUCACCGAAUUCAUUUAUGAAUGUGAAGUUGGAUUAUUUAAUUUUUGGAUGUAAAGUUAGAUUUCUAAGUUGGUAUUAUCAAUAAAAAGAUAUUUUUAUGGAAGGAAGUAAGGAUAAUGUUAAGGAGAAAUUUCUUCCUGAAAAUUUUCUUCCUUUCAUUUUCCUAAGUAGAUUGAGAUAGAGUGGGAUGGAUUUGAGUGAAAAAGAAAGGUUGAUGUGUAAGGCAUAAUAAUAUAUAUAUACAAAUAUUUUUUAUAUAUAAUUUCUUCCCCUAUACAUUAUAGAUGCUACAUAAUCUAUUGCUAAUAACAUUAUAUUACAACAUUAUAGCAUUCACCAAAAACUUAACUAAAGAUAUGAAGAUAUUUUUUCUCCAAGCUGUUUGCUUUUUAUUUUUUGUUUUGUUCAACGGUGGUGUCAACCUUCGGGCUGGCUAUUGCCUAUCUAUUUCUUCUCUCAUUAACCCUUUCUUUCUUCCUUCUUCUCAUCCACUAUACAUGUUUUCUCUCUUUUCAGUUUAUAGAUAUAUUUUGUGGGUAUCUUUAUUGUCUUCACAAGUUGUGAUGGACAGAUGACGGUGACUGUCGUUCAUUAAAACCCCACUAACCACUAGUAAUUUUUAUUAGAAUGUGGGUGGCUCUUCGUCAAUUUCUUAAUAUGUUUCUGUUUUGAGAGUAUUUUAAAUUAAUAAAUGACUUCACGCGUCAAUUUGGAUCCGUAUUAUCUUAAGUUUUAUAUUUUUUUGUUCGUUUUUUUAUUGUUUAAUAAAUAUUCAGUUUUAGAAGUCUUUGUCUGCUCUUGUAGCACAUUUUUUAGUCUUGCUUAUGCAUGUAAUCUUAGUUUUACAAGUGAUUUUAAGGAUGAUUUUGUUGUCGUCCUCUCUAGUUUGAUGAAUGCUCGAUUCCUUUGUCGAUUUUUGCUCACUAUUUUGGACCAUUCGACGCUGAUUUUCUUAUCGUAUUAAGUGCUUGCAAUCAUUCUAGAUAUAUUGUGCUUGAGUUGUGACAAAGUCAAUUGUCAACGUGUCAUAAUGUUCAAUUGAUGCUGAGGCUAAAGCUUUCGUUGUGUUGAUGGAGCUUGUCAUUCAUCAUCUACGACGAGUGUUUGUUAUUUUUUUCUCUGAAUUGCAUGGUUCUAUUUAUUGAAUAAAUUAAUAAAUUUACCUUUAAAAAGAAAAACUAAAGAUAUGAUGAAAAAGGAACCAUGUGUACCAGGGAAAGUUAAAGCAGUACAUAUAAUUAAGGAACCACAUAAGUUAAUACUAGCCAAUUUGGUAGCACUUGGUCAUCAAAGACUAGAACAACUUUUUAUGAUUAAAAUAUUUAUUUAGUAAUUGAUAUAUCGUUUUAUUUAGAGAAUAUAUAGUUAAUUUUUUAAAACAAUAUAAUUUUAAUAUCUUUUUAAAUUACAAAAAAGGCUCAAACUAAUAAUGAGAAUAAUGGUAAUUAAGUUUAAUUACUACUAAUAAUGUGAAAUACUAUGGUAAUAAUGUGAAAUACUAAUAAUGAGAAUCAAUAUAUUCAAAUAUGCAUGAGAAAUUAGCAAGAGUAAUUGAGCCCCAGUUCUUUGUUGCUCAGACUCGAUAAAAUGAGAGUUAUACUUGUGUGGACAGGGAAAGUGUGUUGGAUUUGUCGGAUUCUUAAAAUUGAGUGAGAAAAGAAAAAGAAAGAAACAGAAUCAACUGAAAAUCGAGAAAAUAAAGUUGAACGUGUCAAAAACAAGUAGAAUGCUUUUUCUUUUCAACGUCAAUUUCAUGUGAAUUACUAUUCCUUCAACUUGGUUUGUCUUUUGCAAUCAUUACAAUAUUGAUAAUCAAGUUUAUUGUAGAUUAAUCAUUAAUCUCUAGUAUAAGAGCCUAGUUACUACUACUCACUCUCCAUCAACUUUCCUCCAAAUAUAGCACUUCUUAAUGUUUGUUUUGAGAAACUACCUAUCUUCUUUUGUUCUCAGUUUGUUCAGAGGUGUGUUAAUUGGCCAGCCUUUCUGCGACAAAAAAGAAUCUUGAAAAUCUCCAAGUACCACGUAAAUCCCAUCGAUUUCUUCAACUUAGCUACUAAGUUCCAAUGGUUAGAUUCGAUAAUGAGACAUCCUCCUCUUCCUCCUCCUCCUCAUCAUCAUUGGAAUCAUCUUCUUCAGUUUCUCGAGGGAAAUAUGAUGUUUUCUUGAGUUUCAGAGGUGAGGAUACCCGCAGGAAUUUCACGGAUCAUCUUUAUGCUGCAUUUAAAAGGAGAGGAAUCACCACUUUUAGGGAUGACGAAAAGCUCGAGACAGGUGAACCCAUAGCACCUGAGCUCUUCAAAGCAAUUCAUGAGUCAUGGUGCUCUGUAAUCGUUUUGUCGGAAGGGUAUUGUUUCUCGAGUUGGUGCCUACAAGAGCUUUCCGAGAUUAUUCAACAGAAAAACGACAAGGGACAUAAAGUCUUCCCUAUUUUCUAUUAUGUGGAGCCAUCUAAUUUGAGAAAACAAACCGGAAAAGUUCUAGAAGCUUUUCUUAAGCAUGAAAAUAAUUUCCAGGACAACAAAGAGAAGACACAAAGAUGGCGAUCUGCUUUAACUCAAGUAGCUAACAUCAAAGGAUGGCACUUGAGUAACAGGUAACUAUCAUAUUCUUUCACUUCAAUAAUAUCUUACCAGCAUCAAGUUUGAAAUUUGAGGCAUUAGCUAAGGAUUGUGCCCUUAAAGUUUCACUAAGCUAUUUCCUUUGCUUUGUAUUUGAAGGCAUGAAUCAGAACUUAUUGGAGAAAUCAUUGAAAAGGUAUCAACAAAAUUAUGUCAAACAUUUGCAAGUGCUCCUAAUGACAUGAUUGGAAUUGAAUCACGUUUGGAAGAGUUAAAUUGCAAAAUAGGCAUAGGGGAGGAAGAUGAUAGUGUUCGGAUUAUAGGGAUUUGUGGUAUGGGCGGGUUAGGUAAAAUAACUCUUGCAAGAUUUGUUUAUACCCAAAUUUCAAGUCAUUUUGAAGGCCAAAGCUUUCUGGCCGAUGUUCGUGAGGUUGCGGAGAAACAUGGACUUGUUUAUUUGCAGAAACAACUUCUUUCCCAAAUUUUUCCAGAGGAAAGUUUCAACUUUUUUAAUGUUCAUGAUGGGAAUGACAUCAUAAGUCGUAUGUUAUCUCAUAAAAAGAUUUUUGUUGUUAUUGAUGAUGUGGAUAACAUACAACACUUAAAAUGUUUGAUAGGCAGGAGAGCUUGGUUUGGUUUAGGAAGCAGGAUCAUCAUAACAACAAGAGACGAGCAUCUGCUGCAAAUCUACGGAGUGGAUGAUGUGUAUAAUCCGACGAAAUUGAAUGCCAAGGAAGCACUUCGCCUUUUCAGUUUGAAAGCUUUCAAAAGUGAAACACC